rnacentral:rRNA from 1 species
AGGGCGGACGGCGGAUGCCUAGGCUCUCAGAGGCGAUGAAGGACGUGAUAAGCUGCGAUAAGCUUCGGGUAGGUGCAAAUGACCAUUGAUCCGAAGAUUUCCGAAUGGGACAACCUGAUAUGGUGAAGCCAUAUCAUCUUACUUUUUAGUAAGAGGCUAACCCGCAGAACUGAAACAUCUAAGUACGCGGAGGAAAAUAAAACAAAAGUGAUUCCCUUAGUAGCGGCGAGCGAACUGGGAACAGCCCAAACCUAUAUUGUUUUGGCAAUAUAGGGGUUGUAGGACCACGCUGUAGAUUUAAUAAAUUAAAUGGAACAUAUCUGGAAAGUUUGAUCAUAGAGGGUUAUAAUCCCGUACAUGCAAGUUUAUUAAAUUUUAGUGGUAUCCUGAGUAGCGCGGGACACGUGUAAUCCUGUGUGAAUUUGCCAGGUCCAUCUGGUAAGGCUAAAUACUCCUGAGAGACCGAUAGUGAACGAGUACCGUGAGGGAAAGGUGAAAAGCACCCCUAACAGGGGAGUGAAAUAGUACCUGAAACCGUUCGCCUACAAGCUGUAGGAGUCCAUCCUUUGGAUGGAUGACUGCGUGCCUUUUGCAUAAUGAGCCUACGAGUUAUUCCAUAUUAGCUUGGUUAAGUAUUUUAGGUACGUAGCCUUAGCUAACGCGAGUCUUAAUAGGGCGUUUGUUAAUAUGGAUAUACGCGAAACCUAGUGAUCUACCCAUGAGCAGACUGAAGUACUGGUAACACGGUAUGGAGGGUCGAACCGUUGAAUGCUGAAAAAUUCUCGGAUGACUUGUGGGUAGGGGUGAAAGGCUAAUCAAACUGGGAGAUAGCUCGUACUCCCCGAAAUGCCUUUAGGGGCAGCCUUGUAUUUGUUUAGUAGAGGUAGAGCUACUGAUAGGACGCGAGGGCUUCACCGCCUAUCAACUCCUGACAAACUCCGAAUGCUACUAAAUUUUAUUACAGGAGUGAGGGUAUGGGUGCUAAGGUCCAUAUCCGAGAGGGAAAUAACCCAGACCAUCGGCUAAGGUCCCCAAAUGUAUGCUAAGUUGAACAAACGCGGUAUGGUUGCAUAGACAGCUAGGAUGUUGGCUUGGAAGCAGCCAUUCAUUUAAAGAGUGCGUAACAGCUCACUAGUCGAGCGACCGUGCAUGGAUAAUAAUCGGGCAUAAGCAUACUACCGAAGCUGUGGAUUGUACAUUUUUAUGUACAGUGGUAGGGGAGCAUUCUAAUCUGCACAGAAGAAGUAUCGUGAGGUAUUUUGGAGCGUUUAGAAACGCAAAUGUAGGCAUAAGUAACGAUUAUGGGGGCGAGAAACCCCCACGCCGAACAACCAAGGUUUCCUGAUCAACGCUAAUCGGAUCAGGGUUAGUCGAGUACUAAGGGGUAGCCUAAGGGCGCACCCGAUGUCAAGCAGUUUAAUAUUCCUGCACCUGCUAUAUAUUUAAGUGACGAGGAUUUAAUUUUUACUAUGUACUGACGGAUAUAGUGCAUUGAGCCUAGCCUUCGGGCGAAGCGAAGUAGAGAUUUAUUCUCCAAGAAAAGCGAUUAUAGCAGCUCGUACCGUAAACCGACACAGGUAGUUGGGUUGAGUAUACUAAGGCGUUCGAGUUAUUCAUGGCUAAGGAACUAGGCAAAUUAACCCUGUAACUUCGGGAUAAAGGGCGCCUCACUUUUUUGUGAGGCCUCAGUAAAAUGGCCCAGGCGACUGUUUAGCAAAAACAUAUGGCUUUGCCAAAUCGAAAGAUGACGUAUAAGGCCUGACACCUGCCCGGUGCCGGAAGGUUAAUAGGAGAGCUUAUUUGCUUUAUUGCGGAGAAGGUUUGAAUUGAAGCCCCGGUAAACGGCGGCCGUAACUAUAACGGUCCUAAGGUAGCGAAAUUCCUUGUCGGGUAAGUUCCGACCUGCACGAAUGGUGUAACGAUCUGGGCACUGUCUCAGCCAUGAGCUCGGUGAAAUUGUAGUAUCGGUGAAGAUGCCGAUUACCCGCAACGGGACGGAAAGACCCCGUGAACCUUUACUGCAGCUUUACAUUGUAUUUGGGUAAUUAAUGUGUAGGAUAGGCCGGAGACUUUGAAGCAGCGACGCCAGUUGCUGUGGAGUCAUCCUUGAAAUACGGCCCUUUGGUUAUUUGGAUACUAACUCUUUACGAGAGGACACUGUAUGGUGGGUAGUUUGACUGGGGUGGUCGCCUCCAAAAGUGUAACGGAGGCUUCCAAAGGUGCGCUCAGGCCGAUUGGUAACCGGUCGCAGAGUGUAAUGGUAUUAAGCGCGCUUGACUGAGAGACCUACAAGUCGAUCAGGUAGGAAACUAGGGCAUA